GAGGAACCAGUUAGAAGCUGUUUUCAAAGUAGCUGAGCAGAUUUCAUCUCAACAGACAAAGCCAAUGGCAGAAGAUGUUUGGAGAAGAACUUCAGGCCGUGUACUGACAAGAUCAAAGCAGCUCGUGCUCUUUCUGCUUCCAUUUUGAUGGCAAGAAGAAGAAGAAGAAGAAGACUUCAGCGAAGUGGCGUUCAUGGUCUCAGUGGACAGUCAUGGUCACAUACUGCAUGUGGUUUUAAAAGCAACAUGUCUGUUCACCACAACAAUCGAGAUGUGUAAUAUUAGUGCAGCUGCAGUUUGUUCUUGAACAUCAGUUCUGUUUUCUACUUUGACCACUUAGACCAAAAAAGUGUUGUUUUCAGAUUCUUUCUUUUAAAUCUGUAAAGCACCUGCUCAUUUUUUAUUACAAUUAGUUUCACAUAAAUAGUAGU